UACGUAGGGUGCGAGCGUUACUCGGAAUUACUGGGCGUAAAGGGUGCGCAGGCGGUUUUGUAAGCCAGAUGUGAAAUCCCCGGGCUCAACCUGGGAAUGGCAUUUGGGACUGCAAGGCUAGAGUGUGGCAGAGGAGACUGGAAUUCCCGGUGUAGCAGUGAAAUGCGUAGAUAUCGGGAGGAAUACCGAUGGCGAAGGCAGGUCUCUGGGCUGACACUGACGCUCAUGCACGAAAGCGUGGGGAGCAAACAGG
rnacentral:rRNA from 1 species